rnacentral:rRNA from 1 species
CGCGGCCUAUCAGCUUGUUGGUGAGGUAAUGGCUCACCAAGGCUUCGACGGGUAGCCGGCCUGAGAGGGCGACCGGCCACACUGGGACUGAGAUACGGCCCAGACUCCUACGGGAGGCAGCAGUGGGGAAUAUUGCACAAUGGGCGCAAGCCUGAUGCAGCAACGCCGCGUGCGGGAUGACGGCCUUCGGGUUGUAAACCGCUUUCAGUAGGGACGAAGCUAACGUGACGGUACCUACAGAAGAAGGACCGGCUAACUACGUGCCAGCAGCCGCGGUGAUACGUAGGGUCCGAGCGUUGUCCGGAAUUAUUGGGCGUAAAGGGCUUGUAGGCGGUCCGUCGCGUCAGGAGUGAAAACUCGGGGCUUAACCCCGAGCCUGCUUUUGAUACGGGCGGACUAGAGGGAUGCAGGGGAGAACGGAAUUCCUGGUGGAGCGGUGGAAUGCGCAGAUAUCAGGAGGAACACCGGUGGCGAAGGCGGUUCUCUGGGCAUCACCUGACGCUGAGAAGCGAAAGCGUGGGGAGCAAACAGGCUUAGAUACCUUGGUAGUCCACGCCGUAAACGGUGGGCACUAGGUGUGGGGGACAUUCCACGUUCUCCGUGCCGAAGCUAACGCAUUAAGUGCCCCGCCUGGGGAGUACGG